rnacentral:rRNA from 1 species
CUACGGGGGGCUGCAGUGGGGAAUAUUGGACAAUGGACCAAAAGUCUGAUCCAGCAAUUCUGUGUGCACGAUGACGGUUUUCGGAUUGUAAAGUGCUUUCAACAGGGAAGAAGUUCUGACGGUACCUGUAGAAGAAGCGACGGCUAAAUACGUGCCAGCAGCCGCGGUAAUACGUAUGUCGCAAGCGUUAUCCGGAUUUAUUGGGCAUAAAGGGCAUCUAGGCGGCUUAGUAAGUCUGAUGUGAAAGUGCGGGGCUCAACUCCGUAUUGCGUUGGAAACUACUAAGCUAGAGUAUUGGAGAGGUAGGCGGAACUACAUGUGUAGAGGUGAAAUUCGUAGAUAUAUGUAGGAAUGCCGAUGACGAAGGUAGCUUACUGGACAAUUACUGACGCUGAAGUGCGAAAGCUAGGGGAGCAAACAGGAUUAGAUACCCGAGUAGUC